AUUGAACGCUAGCGGGAUGCUUUACACAUGCAAGUCGAACGAGUGGCGGACGGGUGCGUAAUGUAUGGUGACUGCCCGAUAGAGGGGGUUAACUACUGGAAACGGUAGCUAAUACCGCAUACUAUCGGAUAACCCAUAUGGGAUUGGCUAGUAGGUGAGGUAAUGGCUAACCUUGGCGACGAUCCCUAGCUGGUCUGAGAGGAUGAGAAGAGACACUGGGACUGAGACACGGCCCAGAAGCCGACGGAGGGAGCAGUGGGAAAUAUUGCACGAUGGGAGAAAGCCUGAAGCAGCCAUGCCGCGUGUAUGAAGAAGGCACUAGGGUUGUAAAGUACUUUAAGUCGGGAGGCGUUACCGAAAGAAGAAGCACCGGCUAACUCCGUGCCAGCAGCCGCGGUAAUAC
rnacentral:rRNA from 1 species